rnacentral:ncRNA from 4 species
GUAACAAGGUUUCCGUAGGUGAACCUGCGG